rnacentral:lncRNA from 1 species
UUAGUACAUAAACAUAAUCAUAACCUAAUCUUCUUCAGUAGACUAUGACUAUUGCAAAAAUAUUUUAAGUAUCAACUGUAUUCUUAACUGCAAAGAACAGGGUAGAUUCUUACUGUGUCUGUGUCAAAUCAAUCCAUCGGUGUUAAUUCUACAAAUUACCCAAUGGUUCACGUGUAUGUUUGGUUUGUGUUAACACUUUGAGAAACACUAAAUAAUUAUUUUUGUUUAUGUUUUGUUUUUAAAUAGGAAGUUGAAAAAUCUGGAUUAAAAUUACAUCACUUGGUUUUAUAAAGUCAUGAAUUACAUCAGAUGAAAUAAUACAGCAGCUGAGUGUAGAAUGCAGAUGAAACAAUUUCCCUGCAGAGGACACUCCACUAUCAUUUCCAAACCCAACAGGUAGUCAGAGGAGUGACUGUAACUACAGCACUGUGCUCAGUGACACCCCAGAAGAUGAGCAGGAACUUGAAUGUAAAGAUACUGAUUUUGUUGAAUCUGUUUGAAAAAGAUAUUCCAGAAGCAAAGAAAUACCCUUGAACAAGACAUUGAUGGCCAUUGGAGAGCGUGUUUGUAGUGCUCUUAAGAAGACUCAAGAAGGUUACUCAGUCUUCUCACAGACAGUGAAGGAAAGUAUUCUCCUUGCUUAGAGUUUCCUG